rnacentral:lncRNA from 1 species
CCCGCCGGGAGCGCGGGGCCAGCCGGGGUUCGUAGUCCCCGCCGGCCGCUGUCGACGAGGGGCGCGGCCGCGCCGAGGCACUGCGCUACGUUGCGCGGCGUGCAGCGGGACGAGCGUAUAAGGGGCUGGCGGCGAGCGCGGCUCAGCCAGUCCGUCCGUCCGCCUGCCCGUCCGUCAGAACAAUGCCAUCGCCGCCAGAGCCGGGCAGCCGCGGCUGAGGGGCGGCGGAGCAGCCGGGCGGGACGCGCUCCUCGAGCAGCGCCGCUCCGAGCGGGGGAGCCGCCGCCAGCAUGUGGAUCCCCACGGAGCACGAGAAGUACGGCGUGGUAAUAGCUGGUUUUCGAGGAACAGUCCCACAUGGCCUCUCACUGGAGAUUGGAGACACAGUUCAGAUACUGGAGAAGUGCGAUGGAUGGUACAGAGGAUUUGCCUUAAAAAACCCAAAUGUUAAGGUAAAGAUCAAUUACAGUUUUGCACUUUGGCAAAAAUGUGUAUUUACUUCUUAAAAAGUUUAUAGUCUCCAUAUAAGUAGAUUAUAUUUACCCUUAAAAGAAAACUGGAUCUUAGUGAUAAGUAUAUUAUUGGUACUGCAUGAAUUAGAUUUGGACAAUGAUUACACUUCUCAAAGGCUCUUGUGCAUUUGGAUGACUUUACAAAUCAAAGGCUCUGGCAAAUUUUCUUUUAAUCUGAUUUUUAGAAGCUAAGUUAUAGGGAAAAGUCUACGGAGAAUGGAAACUGUAAACAAUGUUAGAAAAGUUAAUUAGACUGUGCCUAUUUUCUUGAUGGUAUAUAUUAGUGCACAGUCGCCAUUGGAGAUGUAUAUGGAGUAUCAGUUGAAAAAAAUUUGUCUGUUUCCAUGUAAAAUACAUUUUUCUUUUUUUUCCUUGUUGUGUAGUCUUUUAUUUCCAUGGGAGUGUAGCUGACAGACUUCACUGUUUGGUUGGUUUUUGUUGCGUUCAGACAUGAAAUAUUAUGAUAUUCAUGCACUUAUUUUUUUCAUCAUUUGUUCAUCUUGAAUGAGUUUUAGAUUUUCCUAUUUUAGCUGUCUUUCUGUUUUCUUACUGUCCUGUUGACUGUCAGUAUAAAGUGUUUGUUUUUCAUAUGGGAAACCAUUUCAAGACUUCUUUUCCUUCAACACAAUACUGAAAUCACUUGUUUUUCCUUUAACUCACGUUGUCAGCUUAUCUCCUUUUUCUUUUUUUUUUCCCCUUUCCUUCUUCAUUUCCAAGCUUCUUCAGCUGCAAAGUAGGGCAUAUAAUAUAUAAAUUUCAGAAGUUUCUGGGGCUCCUAUCAUACAAGUCACUGGUUUCUUGUCCUUAAGCUUUCAGUCUCUGCUCACAUAAAUUUGCUUUGCUUUAUGUGGAGGGUCAGUGUGAGAAAUAAAUCUAGCCGGUGUCUAAUCUGACAUUUAUUACUUUGACCUCACUGAUAAAUAUUACAAUUUGAUUUAUAAGACAUGAGCAGUUGGUAUUUAUCGCAUCUUCAGUGUCUUUUGUUGCAGUUCUCACCACAUGUUUGCUGUCACAGUUUCUUUGUGGUCUGUCAAAUGUGUUGAUAGAAGUUAUGAAUAGGUUUUCUAAACAUGACUUGAUGUGUGAAGGAACGAGACAGAUAUUUUCUACUUUCAUAGAAAAAAGGAAGGGAAACAGUUUUCUGAACUGGAUUUUUGAAGGGAGCCUCUCCAAAAGUAAAAUAGGAACACCUUGUAAGUCAGCUUAUAAUUGGUAUUGCUCUGUCAAGGUUCUCCUGUUGUUAUUCCAUCAGCUUAGAUGCUCAAAGAAAUUAUCUGUGGCAGCUGGUCUGCAGUGCCCCGUGUAUGCACCAUCCUGAUUUCUGGCACAUUGUUACAAAUGCCAAAGCUACACGUCUUACUGUCCUUGGGAGAUGCUCUCCUGAACUACUUCACGCUACUGAGGAGAAGGAGCAUUCUCAAGGGCAGCUGAUGUUACACAGUAGAUGCCUUUUUUUUCAAAGGUCUAACAAUGUUUUCUGUUAAAAGAAAAUGGGGCACCUUCACAGUGGAAAGCUGUAUGUAGCAGGGCUUAUAAUAAGGAAGGGCACACUUACAUUUUCCUUCACUGAAUUAUGUAGCUAGCGGUAGUGUAUUAUGUUCUAAGCCAGUAUAUAGAAUCUGAAUUGCUUAAUUUUGCUUACCAUUAUGACUAAUGAAGGUUAGUGUGGUGCAAGUGCUGUGACACUGUUAUCCAUGCAAAAGAACAGUGAAGAAUGCUUGGCUAACUAGAAAGGACCACUCCUGUCUGAACACUGAGGCUCUUUGGUGUGCAUCUACUGCACCUUUCAGGUUUGCUGCAUGGCACAGUAACUCAUAAAUAAAGUUUUAUUUCUUAAUUUAUCUUUAUUUAUUUUUAUUGGAAUUCAUUAAUUUCAUUUAUUUUGCAAAUCUGUACUGAAGAGAUCUUGUUAAGAUCGUGUUGGUAAAAAUUUCUCAGUGGGAAUAUUAAUAAAUUAUUUAGGAUAAAUGCGCUGUCAAGCAAUCUUAUACAUGCUUUACAACUUUAUCUUCUAAUUUUCUUAAAUAUUGAAAGACUAAAACUCUACUAAAGACAUUUUUGUUUCCUUUAGAUCUGCACUGAGUAUAUAUUGAAUUCUUUUUUGUGUAUGCUUGUUGGUAAUUAUUUGGAGGACUUUUAAUUCAGCAUGCAUUUGCAUAUAAAAUGCUGCUUUAAGAUUAUUCUCCAAACUCACUAAAGGGAAUUUUUUUCAUUGUUUUUACCUAACCUAUUCUGUUUUUCAGGGUAUCUUUCCAUCCAACUACAUUCACUUGAAAAAUGCAUGCGUUAAGAACAAAGGACAAUUUGAAAUGGUUAUUCCAACAGAAGACUCUGUUAUUACAGAGAUGACAUCAACUUUAAGAGACUGGGGAACGAUGUGGAAACAACUCUAUGUGAGAAAUGAGGGCGAUCUCUUUCACCGACUGUGGCAUAUAAUGAAUGAAAUCCUAGACCUGCGAAGGCAAGUCCUGGUUGGCCACCUCACCCAUGAUCGAAUGAAGGAUGUGAAGCGACACAUCACUGCUCGUCUGGACUGGGGCAAUGAGUGAGUAGAAGAAAACAGUGUAAUCUCAUUAUAAUACCAGUUUUAGGCUCAGUAUAGAAUGUUGAAAUAAGGAACAAAUUUCUGACAGAUGUCACUUUUCUUUAUGGAUUUUUUUUCUUCAUUAUUUUUCUAUCCACUACGUUUUAGCAGUAAAAAAUGACUUACAGCUUUUCCUUUCCUUUUUCCUUCCACUAAGGGAACAUACUUGCUUCAAUUUAUUUUACAGAGCACUGGUACAACCUGCAAGAGAACUGCAGUUACUAUUCUGGAAUACUGGAUUUCUGCAGUUUCCUUUUAAGUCUUUUAAAAACAUAUCUGGCCAGAUUCUUAUGCAGCAUAAUUAUAUUGGCUGACACUACUUAAUCUUCUUGAUCUGUGUUGUACAAUUCAGUUUCUUCUUAAGCAUCUCUAGUAUUAUCUUGAUACUGUUCUAUGCAUCAUUCUUUUAUUUGAGUGACAAAAAUUGAUUACCCCAUUUAUAUUCUCUUAAUUUUUUUUUUCAAAGCAAGAGAUUUUCAUUCUUUUGUCUUAAACCCGCGCUACUUCAAUUAAUAUCUCUUCAGUAUUAAUAAAUGCCUAACAGUAUGAAGACUUGUGGGGGAUAGAUAAUUGUUAGCAUAAUGCAUGAUGAUGAAAAUGGUUUCUAAAUCAUUUUCUGAAUACAGCUUUCACAGAUCUUGUUACUAUCUUGCAUAGUUUGAAAGGCCAAUGAGCUAAUCUCUGCUCCAGAUACCUCACCCAUGAGAAUAAUAAGCCCAAUAGACUACUCUUAACUCCAGUAUUACUGGUGCAAACAACAGCACAGAUUAACAACACAGUGAUAUUUACAAUGACAGUUAAAACCAGCAUGAGUCUGUGCUCUUGUAGCAAUGAGGCAUCAGAAUCUUGUCAUUCUCUUGCAAAGAAGUGUGUGCUUGGUAUGGUUGGGCAGCUGAGUAGUAUGGAAAACGCAAAAAUGAAAUGCGCUGCUGUUGAUUACAUUGGCAUGCAUGCCUUGCAUUUGGUACUGAUUUUGCUUUGAGUUUGGAAAUCUGAGACCAGAUGAAAUAGGCUCCACAGACAGUAAAUUUUGCUGCUGUGAUGUACAGCGUGCUUUGCAGUGCUUCCUCCAUAGUAACACUGUGUUGCUACAUCUGUAGCCCUUUGCUUACAUGUGUUGUAUUUGUCUCAGUGCAGCACUCCUGGCUACUUUGCUAGGUCCUUGGGAAUGAAAGGGCAAGUGUAAGAUAGGUGUGUGCAUCAGGAGUGAUAGGAGCAUCCCUUUUCCCUCACAGCACACUACCCUGAGGCAGUAGCAGUAGUAAAAAUGGUGUUUUAUGUGGUCAUAAAGAUAACAAAAACACUUGAUUUCUUUGAUCGUCAAGGAGGUGACUGAGUCAAUGUCCCUGGAGGUGUUCAAGAAACAUUUAUAUGUUGUACCAAGGGAUAUGGUUUAGUGGGAAAUAUUGGUGGUAGGUGGACGGUUGGACUGGAUGAUCUUGAAGAUCUUUUCAAUCCUUCAUGGUUCUGUGAUUCAUCUGAGACAAUAAAUUUGAUUUUGGAAAACUAUUUAAACUAAACCAAAGGAAGUGAACUAAUCUCAUGGAUUGAAGUCCUGUACUUUUGGAAUAGUAGUUUUUAUACCAAGACAGGCUGAUAACCUGAUACAGGCUGAUAGUUUACUCAGAGCAGUGCUCUGUACCUUGUUCUAUAGCAAGCUUUUUUACAAAAUAUGUGACCCUGAAUAGAAUAAUACAGAACUUGCAAAGUCUGAAUCAGCCUUUGAAAAAGACAGGUGUGUUCCUUGAAGCUUGUGACUGAAAUACACUUCAGUCACUCUAGCUUUCAUAGUGGAAAGAAAUGCUCUCAGUGGGAAUAAGUGUGAUUUGGAUCUCAUCCUUAGUAUUUCCUCCCCACUCUAUAGGUAUGGAGCCAUCAAAAUACUAAUGAGGCUUUUUAUUUUAUUUUAUUUUAUUUUUCUAGAAUAUUGGUCUUUCCCCAUCCUUUGAACUGCAGAACAUUCUCCAAAUUCUGUUACAACAAACAUCAUAACCCGCUACUAAUUGGCACAGCUUUAGACUUUUAUUUGCUCUGAUCUGCCUAAUGCCUGUAUGUUGUUUUGUUUUUAAUAUAUUUUUGUGCAAGUGCCUACUGCGAUGGCUAUAGAUGGUUGCAGUGUUGUAUUUUAUGAAGUGGGCAUUUGUCAUCUGAAACUUUAACCCAGCUAUCAUGUCUGGGCUGUUUUUGAACCAGUGAUGUCAGGCAGUUAGGCAGGACCCUUGAGUUUCAAAAGAAUCCCUCUUUGCUUUCAACCAUUAUUCAGUUCUGUAAGUAACAAGAUUGUUUUGUGGGACUGCUUAGAGAAAAAUUAAGCUUCUUCCAGCGCAGGAGUUCACUGUAAUGAAGGAGACUCAGCAUGCACAAAAGCUGAUGUUGAGGACAAAAACAGAAAUGGCUGUAAAUUGUUUUGAAAAAUAUCUGCUUCAAACAGAACAAGAUAAUGAGAAUUGGACUUUCCUCAGCUUUCUAAGCUUACGGGUAGGAAGAGUUAAUGCAUUAUUUCCUAAACAAGUUUUCUGAGGUCAGAUGUUUCAACCCUUAGUUUUGUGUAUCAGUAAUAAAACCACUUUGCACCUACCUGUGUUUGUGUCAGAGUUACAUCUGUUAUGCAGAUGUCACAGAUACUUCUCAUCAUGUUGUUUUCUUUUAAUCAAGUGUGGGUUUGUAUUGACUGUAGUAAGCAGCAAAAAGAAUGCUACUGGCAGUUUUGUUGGACAUCAGAUAUUAUGGGUCGUCUCUGAGUUCAUUUCCAAUGCACCUUAUCUUCCUACUGUGGCAAAUCUUUCUUACCUCAUUAUUCAUAAACCAGCCUUACGGUUAUUUCACUCCUAAGGUCUCCUUUGUAAAAUAAAGGGUGUUCUGUUUUUUGUUAAUAGAUUUUUUAUUUUCUUAAGAAUUCAAUUUCUGUAGAAUUUAAGUGCAUGAAGAGGAAUUUAUAGUUUUCUUCUAAAUACCAGAUAAAACUGUUAUUCAAAACCUUUAAGAGAAACUGUAAAAGCACAACAAGAUGACACAAGAGAUGGACCAAAAUGUAAUUUUGGCUUGAUUAAAUCUAUAAAAAAAUCCAUUCAUGAUUUCUAAAGAUGUAUUUUUGCCUAAUGAUGUUAAGUCUACUUUCAUUCAGCAUGAGUGAAAGUGAUGCGAUUUAUAGUAUGUACUUAUUGAAAGCUGUCUAUAGUGAAAGUACUUUACAUCUGAAGUGCGGAGCUUAAAAACAGACAAACAAAAAUGAGUGCAGCCACUGUAUACAGGUAAAGUUUACUUUAUAUAAGUGAGUAUGUCUGUCAUGGCAUACUUUUUCUAAAAAGCAUGAAUUUCAGCGUAAUUUGUUUCCAGCUUUUCAACUUGAAGGAGAUGGGAUGGAUUGUGUCAGAUCCAUCUCUUUUUGUAUUCCCUACUAUUUCAUUUCCAUCAGAUCAGCUGGGUAAACCACUCUCUAACAAUUUUUGAAAAGUUGGAAUAACUUUUGGCAUUGACGUGCUGUUUCCAAAAUCUUUUCUUUAGCCCGUAGAUUCUUCAGUGAAACUCUGACUAAAUACUACUCAGUAGUAGAACUAAUUGAAUUUCAGGGGAUUCUGAAAGCACUGCUGUCUGAAAGCCUAAAUAUUUAAUGCAGUGGAAGAACUGUCUGCUCAGAAUUGUGGCGAUUUCUGAAGUUAUCAGUUCCCAUUCUUUAAAAGCAAAUAUUUUUAAGUUUUCUAAUCUAUCAUUUUUUCUCUAAAAUCAGCAUGACUACCCCAUAUAUGAUCUUUAUUACUUGCUGCUAGGCUGAAAAUAUUUUUUAUUCCUGUUGAUUGAAGUGUAUUUAAUUAUUUAAUUCAAGAGACACAGCCGAGCAGCUUUGAUGCAAUCCAGUCCAAAUUUAAGAUAAACCGAUGAUUGGAGAUUGUAUGGAUUUUCUUUUUGUAUUAUCUUCUGUGGUUGUCAUUCAAAAUGACAGUACCAGUGCAAUUUUCACUGUGUAAUGUCCACAGUAGGACUAAGGGCGGUAUCCAUUGCACAUUGCUUGCAGUGUGAAAUGGAAUUAAAAAUUGUGGGAAUAGAUAUUCCAUUGCUG